AGGUAGCAUUGGCCAAGCAGAGGGUUGAUGAAUACAUAUACUCUCAACUGAUACAAGCGGGUGCUCAACAGCCAGCCUUGAAAGAAGAACGAGGUAAUGGUGUUUAGCAUGGCAAACUUGUUGACAUCCGAACCUAGGGUUUGUUUUCUUAAUAUCAGGCAUGGGUAUAAAUGCAACAAGGAUCUAAAUUGCUGCUUAGUGAUAAAGUUGUGGGUGGAUGGUCUUGGUUUUGGUUAAUAAAUUCUAUUUUAUAAUAGUAGAAGUAAAUCCUCAAGGAACUGAAGGCCCAUAUUAGAAAAAGAAAAAGGAAAGUGGGAUGUGGUACGCUGCCAAUCUAAUCCUUUUGCACGGUAGGAAUAGAGAUGGUAUGAGACAUCAUGACAUGUAGUAGAGUUCAAAACUUGCAAUGAGUUGUUCCUUUCGUCUCCAUAUCAGCCAUCAGUAACUGCUUAAUUCACGUGCUAUUCUUAUGAUGAAUUGCAAAGUUAAUGGAGGUGCAUUUUUUCAGUUUGCAGAGAUAAUAAAUUUGGAUACAAUGCCCUAAAAUGCAGAAAGGAAAGAACAAUAGCAAGACACUUGUCCGUAGAUGUUGGCACUGAGUAGGAGCCAUAUUUGUUUGGUUAGUCUCCUAUUCUCUCUGCUGCUUGUUCCGACACCGAUGUAUCUGAUUUUGUAACUUUGAUGGUUCAAAGCUUACAGUUACUGUUGUAAUUUACGAUCGGUAGUUGAUUGAUUUUUUUUUUUUUUUUCUAGAAAGAGAAAUAAUUAAAUGAUUAAUUAUGUAAAUGUAGACAUGGUUGAUGGAACUUGUUUGCAUGAUUAUUGGAGGUGUGGGAGUAGUUGUAAUUAGGCAGUGGUGAAGAGAAGUUUGUGUUGAUGAGAUUUCAGAUUGUGCUUGUUUCAUCCUGGAAAUUAAGACAUUAAAUACUCUAGUACGAACAUGGGUGUAAGUUGCUUGAAUAUAUACAAUGUGUACAAUUUGAUCUCC